rnacentral:rRNA from 1 species
CCUACGGGUGGCAGCAGUGAGGAAUAUUGGUCAAUGGGCUUACGCCUGAACCAGCCAAGUCGCGUGAGGGAAGACUGCCCUAUGGGUUGUAAACCUCUUUUGUCAGGGAGCAAUUGGCGCUACGUGUAGCGUUAUCGAGAGUACCUGAAGAAAAAGCAUCGGCUAAUUCCGGGACAGCAGCCGCGGUAAUACGGAGGAUGCGAGUGUUCUCUGGAUUUAUUGGGUGUAAAGGGUGUGUAGGCGGAAUGCCAAGUCAGCGGUAAAAUCGCGGGGCUCAACCUCGCUCCGCCGUUGAAACUGGCGUUAUGGAGUGGGCGAGAAGUAUGCGGAAUGCGUGGUGUAGCGGUGAAAUGCAUAGAUAUCACGCAGAACUCCGAUUGAGAAGGCAGCAUACCGGCGCCCAACUGACGCUGAAGCACGAAAGCGUGGGUAUCGAACAGGAUUAGAUACCCGAGUAGUC